rnacentral:rRNA from 1 species
UACGUAGGGGGCGAGCGUUGUCCGGAAUUAUUGGGCGUAAAGCGCGUGUAGGCGGCUCGGUAAGUCUGCUGUGAAAGUCCAGGGCUCAACCCUGGGAUGCCGGUGGAUACUGUCGAGCUCGAGUCCGGAAGAGGCGAGUGGAAUUCCGGGUGGAGUGGUGAAAUGCGUAGAGAUCCGGAGGAACACCAAAGGCGAAGGCAGUGUCCUGGGGAGUACCUGACGCUCAGGUGCGAAAGCCAGGGGAGCGAACGGG